CGGGUGAGUAACGCGUGAGUAACCUGCCUUACACAAGGGGAUAGCCGUUGGAAACGACGAAUAAUACCCUAUGACAUAAACUCUUCGCAUGAGGAGCUUAUCAAAGAUUUAUCGGUGUAAGAUGGACUCGCGUCUGAUUAGCUAGUUGGUGAGGUAACGGCCCACCAAGGCGACGAUCAGUAGCCGGCUUGAGAGAGUGUACGGCCACAUUGGGACUGAGACACGGCCCAGACUCCUACGGGAGGCAGCAGCU
rnacentral:rRNA from 1 species